GAUAGUGUGGCCGAGUGGUCUAUGGCGCUGGUUUUAGGCACCAGUCUCUUCGGAGGCAAGGGUUAGAAUCCCUUCACUGUCA
rnacentral:tRNA from 2 species